rnacentral:rRNA from 1 species
UUAUUAAGCAUAUCAAUAAGCGGAGGAAAAGAAACUAACAAGGAUUCCCCUAGUAACUGCGAGUGAAGCGGGAAAAGCUCAAAUUUAAAAUCUGGCGGUCUUUGGCCGUCCGAGUUGUAGUCUGGAGAAGUGCUUUCCGCGCUGGACCGUGUAUAAGUCUCUUGGAACAGAGCGUCGUAGAGGGUGAGAAUCCCGUCUUUGACACGGACUACCAGUGCUUUGUGAUGCGCUCUCAAAGAGUCGAGUUGUUUGGGAAUGCAGCUCAAAAUGGGUGGUAAAUUCCAUCUAAAGCUAAAUAUUGGCGAGAGACCGAUAGCGAACAAGUACCGUGAGGGAAAGAUGAAAAGCACUUUGGAAAGAGAGUUAAACAGUACGUGAAAUUGCUGAAAGGGAAACGCUUGAAGUCAGUCGCGUCUGCCGGAACUCAGCCUUGCUUUUGCUUGGUGCACUUUCCGGUUGACGGGCCAGCAUCGAUUUUGACCGUCGGAAAAGGGCUGGAGAAAUGUGGCACCUCCGGGUGUGUUAUAGUCUUCAGUCGUAUACGGCGGUUGGGAUCGAGGAACGCAGCGCGCCGCAAGGCAGGGGUUCGCCCACUAUCGCGCUUAGGAUGCUGGCGUAAUGGCUUUAAACGACCCGUCUUG